rnacentral:rRNA from 1 species
UACGUAGGGGGCAAGCGUUGUCCGGAUUCAUUGGGCGUAAAGAGCGUGUAGGCGGCCAGGUAGGUCGGUUGUGAAAACUGGAGGCUCAACCUUCAGAGGUCGACCGAAACCAUCUGGCUAGAGUCCGGGAGAGGAGAGUGGAAUUCCUGGUGUAGCGGUGAAAUUCGUAGAUAUUCGGAAGAACACCAGUGGCGAAGGCGACUGACUGGACAAGUAUUGACGCUGAGGUGCGAAAGCGUGGGGAGCAAACAGG